CGAUGACUACAAUUGGACUUGCCACAUCCAAAAACUGUAGGUUCAUUUUUUUUAUACUUUUUGUCAUUCGUGGGCCCACACGUCACUAUAAAUUAAAUUUUAUACUUUGGUUAUCUGUAUUACAGUAUAAAUGAAUCUAUUUUGCUUUUACGCUGUAAAAAUUAUUUACGCAAUGUUCUAAAAAUAUUAUUUUAUAAGAAAAUAGAAUAUUUUGCUUAAUAUUUCUUUUAUUUUCUUAUUAUAUCCAAAUAAUCAUAAUUUCGUUUUAAAUGAAGAUUUUAGACUUUUAAACUCAUUUUGAUUAUGAACUAUGUAUUUUGUACUUGUAAAUUACAUUUUUUACCGGUUUCAAAAUUUUUGAGAAAAAUGACCAAAAUACCCUUAUGGGACAAAAAUUAUUAUUUUAUGUGUUUUAAGUUGGAAAUAGCUUAAAAUCUCUUAGAACGUGAUAUUUGGCAACGGUUACUCACAGGGGAAAUGAGAAGCUGAUAUUAAAGUCUUGUGGGAUUCCAAUUGACAUUCCGGGUAACGAAUGUCGAUCAGGACGUCACGGCGGUUGUCACGGGCUAGAUGGGAGUUUCGGGUCAUGACAAUUAGAGUGGUAUCAGAGCUUUUGAUUUUAAAGAUUAGAGCUUUUGGGUUUAAAAUUGCUUUAAAAAUUUACAGUGUCAGUGUGGCCCCAAGUCCAGUUAAGUUAAGUUAAGCCAGGUUAGGUUGAAUAAAAUGUAUGUGUCUGCAUAUAGAGCCUAAGGUUGCCUAAACUUGCUUGUUUCCUCUUAUAGAUCUUAUGGGAGCUAUAGGAAUUCCUGUUCCCAAUAAUCCACUUCCUUGUUAAGGUCAUGCAAAGGUCAUAAGUAGGGUCGUUGUCUAGGUUUAAGAUGCCACCCGUGACAUGAGCCAGUGUUAGAGAGAUCUUAAAACGAAUGCUCCUAAUGAAAGAUUAAUGAAAUGAUAUAACCCUCCGAUUAAGGAUGGAGAAAUUUAGAAUUGGACUAAUAGACCGUGAUAAUUUAUUCAUUUGGUGGAGUUAUAAUUGAACACAUGGUUGUCAAUUGGAAAAAGAUUUGAGAACUAUGGAUUGUAUUGGGGUUAAUAUAAAGAAGCACGUGUAAUAAUGGUAAUAAGGGGCACAAUUUGGUUAGAAUGAAUAGUGAUGGUUGUAAUUCACUUGGAGUGUAUAAAUUAAGUAUUGAGGUAAGAGUAAGCCUAUACUUAUGUGCAUGAAGAUAAGAACACUAUAUUAAUUGAGCUUGUUAUGCCAAUAUAUAAGUGGUGUUGAGAUUUUGAAAUAUUUUAUAGGUGAAUAUGUGUUGAAUAGGUACAGCAGCUUAGAGGGAACUGAUGUUGAUUUCAAUUAAGCGAUUGCGAGAUUUCAAGAAUUAAUUAGACCUAUUAUAGUUCAUGGAUAUAAGCAGGUGAAUUAACUCGAGAAUGAGUAUCAAUGAUUACUAUAAUUGAUGUGUGGUCAUGAAGUAAGAUGUUAGUAAACAAAUCUGCUCUAAGGAUGAGCUUGAACUUUGUUAUGCAUAGCAAAAGGGGGAGCUAAGGGAUUAAAGAACUAGAUGUGGAAUUGGCAGCUUGAGGUUAAAUGACUUGGAAAUGUCAAAUCCAGUCUAAGUGCCAUAUGAAGUUCUAUAAUUGAGAUUAAUAUACGAAUUACUUGAAAGAUCAAUUUAAAAGUUUAUUCGAUUCAAAGUGUGGCCUAUGAUACGAAUGAUCAGUCUUGAAGGUGAUCUCCCCAAAGUAAGGAAUUUAGAAAAUGCUGAUGUUUGGAUAUACUUUAAGAGAGAGAACUUCUACAUCCUAAGUUUAGGACAACUUUGAUUUUAUGAUCGCAAAGGCAAGGUGAAAUAACUAAGUAAAUUAUUUACUUAAUAAAUGUGAUUGGUUAUUGAUGAAUAAAGUCAAUAUCUUAACAUUUAGUGGUGUACAAUUUGAUAAUUAUGUAUUUAAGAGUUAUUUGGAGACAAUUCCUUCAUCAAAUUUGCACUAAAUGCUAUGGUAAAGGCAUAUCAAUGUUAAUAUGAAAAUGUAUCUAGGAAUGAUCUUAACAUAUCACCAAAGGAGAAUUAAACAUGUUGAAAUUAAUGUUCUAAUAGUGUGCAUAUGAUUGAAAGCUAGUUUGUAAGUUGUAGUUUUCAUGAUUAUGAAAUAUAUAAAGAUUAUCAAUAUAUGGGCAUACACUUGGAGUUAUAAUUUACAAGUUUGGAGUAUUUAAGAUAUGAUUAAAUGGAAUUAGCAUUAGUUAAGGUACGUAAAUCUUUUAAUUAAUUUCUGUGGAGUAUGCAUGAUAGUAAAAUGGAGGAACAUAGUGUCGUGAUACUAUAUGGUGAAGUUACUAUACAAUAUGGAAAGAGUAUUCUAAAGUGGGAUUUAUUGAUUGUUGACAAGUGUUAUAGGAUGAGAUGAAUUUGAAAAUAUUGACUUUACCUAUUAUAUGUGAUGAGCACAAGAGGAUAUAAAUGGUUAUGAAACACAUGAUAUAUGUCUAGAAGGGAAAGCCACUGCUUGAGAAUGAUUGAUGUGGUGACUUUGAAUGUAGACAAAUAGCUUUGAUGAGGAUUUUUCUAAUAGUUACAGCGCCGCAGCACUGACUGUCCAACGCUGUAAUGCUCUGAAUACCUCAUGCCUAUGAUGCAUGAGUAUGAUGGAAGUGGCACAAUAAUAAACUUACAAAUUGAAUUUUGGCUAUUGGUCAUUGAGCUUUAUUAUUUGGGAGUUUUAAAAAUUCUGGAGAAUGUUUACCUAAAUAAAUUAAAAAGCUUCUUUAUUGCCUCAUGUGUGAGCAUAUAAUAAAAAAAAAUUCUUGAGAUGGCUACCAUGAGAUAAGAUACCAAGAGAUGAAAGUAUGAAUGAAGAAUUACGAGACCGAUAUAGAAAACCAGUUUAUAUAGAGUAUCAUUAUGAGAACUUGCAAUUUCUAUCUUGAUUCAGUUAAAUGACAAGGGUUAGUAACAACAUGAGGCCAAUUGUGUGGCACCCUAGAAACCUAUGAAGAUGAGUUAGGGAUUGAAUGGAUGAGUACGUAUUUAUAUACCUUUAAGAUUAAGUGUUUUAAGAAUACAUAAACAUCUUUGAGAAGAAAUUUCUAGUCAUACAUGGCAAGUACGAAAUGUGAUAUUUUUAAAACUUGUUGAGGAGCCUAACGGCUAAGUCACAAGUUAAGUGAUCAUAUGCUGUGAGACAUAAGUUUAAGGUAGAUAUUCCCAAGGAAAUACUCAAGAAGAGUUUUGCUACGGAUUUUGUGGAAGCUAGCAUUAAGUUAUGUGGCUGUAAAAAGGAAGCUUUAAGUUGGAAGUGAAAUUCAUAUUGACAUUGAAAAGUACGUAGAAGGACUUUAUUUCAAGUCUUACAAUUUUAAGUACAAACUGCAGAUUGGUCUAGGGAGAAUGAUAUCACAUUAUUAUGGAAGAACAGAACAAAGGAUGAAUGAAGAUAAUUUGGAUAAUGAAGCUUGAUAAUGAAAAUUUCCUAAGGUAGUAUGGAAACUGGAAUUUGAAAAUGCAUAAGGCAUGCAUGAUUAGAAACAGUCUUAGUUUUUAAGUGACAUUUAGUAGGUGAGAUGUGAUUAAUGACAUUGUGAUGUGAGGACAUAGCAUGAUAAAACUCAAGCAUAUGGUUGGAAAUGAUAUAAAUGAUAUGAAGUUAUACGCAAGUAUAAUAAGAAGGUUGACAUGCACUAUAAGAAUUAUUAUAUUGAAACUAAGAUUGGGAUGUGGAUGAAUAAAGGGGAAUGUAGUCCAAGGCAUGUGAACACAUGGAUCCCUAUACAUAAUGAGAGAUGUUGACAUUUGAAAAUGCAUGUACAUAUGUAUAUAUGAAAUUGAUAAUUUGACUAACUAAGGUGAAGAAUGGUUCUCAGUAAUUGGGAGAUUUUGAAAUAAUGUCUAGAGAGGUCAGUGAGCUAAAGUGUUAACGGGCAUGCAAUGAACGAUUAAAGUUAUGAGUAACUUUGAAGGUAAGCCUUGGAUUGUUUAAGUUCUUAAUGGAACUCUGUUAAAGGAAGGGUAUGGACCAAUAUAAGAUGAAUGAAUCAAGGUUGAGAAAUUUGGCGUGGAGCAAAUUAAUAAAAUGAUAAUUAGGUAUACAUAAGUAAGUAUAAUAGGUAAUCAAAAUCGGUAUAAUUGAGAUGAAGUUAUGGUUCAAAUUUAAUAAGGGUAAUAAAGGCAUGCUUGGUGACUCAAUAUAAGAAAUCAUGAUUGUGAAAAGUACUGCUGAUCUGGCUUCAAAGGAUGAUAAUUGCCAUAAAUAAAGCAUUUAACUGAACUGAAGGAGAACGAGGUAAAUAAAUUGAAUGUCCCUAUAGAAGGAAAAAGGAAUAGGAUCAUAGAAGGAGAUUGAUAACGUAACAUUGACGUGAAUUCGAGGACGAAUUCUAUUUAAGUGGGGGAGAUUGAAAUGCCCCAUACUUUGAUAUGGUGAUAAAUAAAGUUGGUCAGAUAUGAAUUGAGGCAUAAUAAGGUAUUUUGGGAACUAAGGAGAUAAGAUAAAAUUUUUGAAAUAAAAUAAUAUCUUAUUAAUAAAAUAAUAGUAAAAUAUUAAUAUUUAACCGAAUGUCGAAAUCAGUCAUGAAAAAAGAUCAUAUGGUUGAUCCGAGUAGGGGAGAAGAUGUCAAGCCUGACUCUAUAAAAUACUUGUCAUGACAUAUAUGUGAUGGGUAGCAUGUUUGCAUGCUAGGAGAGUCUUGAAAAAUUUACAAAAGUCAAUAUUGUACCCAGAGGUACAACAAAGUUGAUUUAAACCUCGAACUAGAUCAAACAUAGAUUUUAGGGUGAAAUUAAGAGUUUCACAGUUCAGGGAUAACUCAAAAUGGUAAUUCGGACUUCAAGGAUCAAUUUGGAGUCAAACCGAAAUUUUCACUAUCUAGGGCCAAAAUGGUCAUUUGCCACCUGAGGACAAAAUGGAAAUUUUUACAAAAGAUUUUUUUGGCCCCAUUUGACUUAUUGGACUAUGAUUUGAGGCUUAUAAGUGAAAAUUUUUAAUUUCGGUAAUUUUCAUAGCAUAUGGGUAAAAUUGUAAUUUUACCACCCUAAAGGCAAAACAGUAAUUUUCCACCACCAGAACACUUGUCCAGCAUAUGGAUUUUAUCCAAUUUUAUCAUUGAUAAUUGAAGGAAUUUAUAUGGUGGAGAGAGAAAGCUUAAUAGUUAAGAAAUAAAAAUAGACCAAUGAAAUGGUGACACAUGGCAUAUUUAUAACCAUUAAAUAUUUAGCUUUAAAAUUAAUACAAAAUCAGCCCAUUUCUCAUUCAUAUGGCCGGCCAAAGAAGAACAAAGGAGGAAAGGAAAAAAAACAAGAACCCUAUGCGGGAAAAUUGAAGAAAAGUGUGGGAUUUCAAGGGAUUAAGCUAAUAAAGGUAAAAUUUCUUGAUUUUGACUUGUGAUUUACACUACCAUGCUUUCUUGUUCAUUUUCCAUACUUAGAUUUCAUGUUUUUAUGGUGAAUUCAUGGCUGGUUGGAAUGGGUAUGGAGAGAGAAUGAAGUUGGAUUGAUUUGAUUCUAAGUUAUGUUAGUGUUUUUAGUUAGUUUAUCAUGUCUAGAAACAAACCAACAAGAAAAAUUUAUUUUCUCCCAUUACCCAUCAUUGGUCGAAUUUUCUAGGGAGGAUAUUGCGGNGUGUUUUUAGUUAGUUUAUCAUGUCUAGGAACAAACCAACAAGAAAAAUUUAUUUUCUCCCAUUACCCAUCAUUGGUCGAAUUUUCUAGGGAGGAUAUUGCGGUUGAAAUUGAUGAUAUUUUAUGAUAUUUUGGUGAUAUUUGAUGUUUGGUGAGGCUAGAAAUUAAAUGAGAAAUUUUGGUGUGAAAAUCUAAAUUUUUGCUCAACGUAUAGACAUGUGUGAUUAUUGACCCGAAACUGAUAAAUUGAAUCUCAUUCACAGUCACUGAGGUAAUUUAGGUAUAAUUGGAGUGUAAAAAGUGAGAAGAAUUGAUUUAGAGUUAAAUUGAAGAUUUUAGCUGAUUAGACCGAGUAUAGUGUGACUUAAGUCGAAUAUCACAUGUAAGCAAUUAAUCGGACAUUUUGCAUUCCAUAUCAUGCAUUAGUAGUCUAAAUUAGUUUAAUUUUGAUUUAGUACCAAUGUAAUAAGUUUCUCGAUUUUGUAUUGUGUCAAGGUGGUGAGUUCUCUGACAAGGGUAAGGAAAUUGUACCCGAUGAUCGAUAAUCGGAGUACUUUAGAAAUUAGACUCCUGAAAUAGUGAGUAACCUUACCAUCAAUUUAAUUAUCUAAAGUAUGUUUUUAAUCGGUUUUGGUGAAAUUUUAUGAAAAUGAGUUUAAAUGGUAAAUCUUUGUGUUUUACAAACAAAAUGUGUUUACAUGAAAAGAUUUUAUAAAUUGUCUUGAAAUUGAAUAAUGAUUUUGAAAAAUAGAGUAAUUGGAGACCACUUGUUAUGUUGUAAAAUUUAUAAUUUGAAUCGAAUGGCUUAUGACAAUAUUUGCAUGAAUGGCUGAAUUGAUAUUUAUGUUGAAAUAUAUGAAAUGUGCAUUUAGCCUUGGAAGGCUGUGAAUUACAAUAAUUGCCAUAUCAUGUUAUUAAAUUUUAUUGAUUGGUGAAAAAAUUAUUAGCUUACUACAGAAGGCGGGUUUUCGUGGACUAGCCUAUUAGAGGGGCACGGUAAACCCCAUUAUAUUUUACCUCAGUUGGAGAAGCAAGUAAGGUAACUUCCGAGGUAUAACUUUUAGAGUUCACUUUACGCCAAACCACCACAUGAGGUGGAACUUGGCCAACGCCAAGGAACGGCUAUAUUUUUAAAAUAAAAACAUGUUUAUGUGUACGUAACUUUUUAAUAGCCUUGGUGGACUCGAUUUGGGAUAGCCUUCGGCCAAGGUAUCCCUGAUAACUGAGUAUGAGAAUAAUUUUUGGUAUGAGCCAAGCUUUUAAGAAAUUCAUAAGCCAUAUUGAUUACUUGAUUUAAAUAAAUUGAUUUCAUUUGGUUGAAAUAAGUUGAAAGAUGAUAAAUUACAGUUUGAUGAAAUGUUUUAAUAGUCUCCUUUUACUCGACUUUAGAUAUUUUGAAUGAUGUUUGUUUACUCACUGGGAUUUCAUAAUCUCACCACCCUCCUUUCCACCCAUUUCAAGCUCAGAAUAGAUUGUAGAUAACUGAUAUCGGUGAUGACUACAAUUGGACUUGCCACAUCCAAAAACAGUAAGUUCAUUUCUUUUGAUACUUUUAGUCAUUCGCGAGCUCAUGCGUCGCUGUAAAUUAAAUUUUAUACUUUGGUUAUCUGUAUUAUAGUAUGAAUGAAUCUAUUUUGCUUUUACGCUGUAAAAAUUAUUUACGCAGUGUUCUAAAAAUAUUGUUUUAUAAGAAAAUAGAAUAUUUUGCUUAAUAUUUCUUUUAUUUUCUUAUUAUAUCCAAAUAAUCAUAAUUUCGUUUUAAAUGAAGACUUUAGACUUUUAAACUCAUUUUGAGUAUGAACUAUGUGUUUUGUACUUGUAAAUUACAAUUUUUGCCAGUUUCGAAAUAUUUGAGAAAAAUGACCAAUAUAUCCCUGUGGGACGAAAAUUAUUAUUUUAUUUAUUUUAAGUUGAAAAUAGCUUAAAAUCUCUUAAAACGUGAUAUUUGGCAACGGUUACUCACAGGGGAAAUGAGAAGCUGAUAUUAAAGCCUUGCGAGAUUUCGGUUGACAUUCCGGGUAAUGAAUGUCGAUCGGGACGUCGCAGCGGUUGUCACAGGCUCCAUGGGAUUUCCGGGUCGUGACAAGUGAAAUCCGUAAAAGUUGUAUGCAAAAGGAUUUUUAACAACACAAGUUAAAGAAAAAAGUUCAAAGGAAGAUUUGAUUUCAAUUGCAACCACAGAAAUAAUUAACAAAGCAAUGAAGAUAACAUUAUCCUAACUCUUAUUUAAUCUUUCUUGUUAAACUUUUUUAUAUUUUACUAAUCUUUGAGCAAAAAUUAUAUAUCAAUCACUGAAUUAAAUAUUUAAAUGCAUGAUAUAAAUUUUUGUUACAUUAGCAAAAUUUUAAAAUUUAAAUAUUAGUAUAAAAUUAUUAUAAAAAGUAAUUAUUAUUAAAUGCUUAAUUUUAUUACUAAAUUGUUAAAAGAGAGUUGAGGUUUGAGGAUGGAAGCUACUUUUUUAGCCACUUAGCCUUUUCUAUAUGUAACAAAAGAAGAUGUAAAAUAUGGACUCAAAUGUGUUUCUUGUGAGGCCAUCUUGUUUUUUAUGGUACUGUUGGAUCAUAUUAACCUCAAAGCUUUUGUACAGUUUUAAUU
rnacentral:lncRNA from 1 species